CUUGGCCACCUUCUACGAAGACUAGGGAGGGUCAAACCUAUCAGAACGCGAUUAUGUUGUAAACGAUCUUUGUCUUUAUGUGCCAACGAAAGGCAAUUAGAUAAAUAAGGUUUUUGUAUGGAGUCUCGCUCUGGAGUGCAGUGGCGCGAUCUCGGCUCACUGCAACCUCCGCCUCCUGGAUUCAAGCGAUUCUCAUGCCUCAGCCUCCGGAGUAGGCACGCGUUCGCCAUCUUGGCCACGCUGGUCGCCAGCUCCUGACGCCGAGUGCUCUGCCCGCCUCAGCCUCCCGAGGUACUGGGACUACAGACGGAGUCUCGCUCACCCAGUGCUCGGUGUUGCCCAGGCUGGAGUGCGGUGGCGUGGUCUGGCCUCGUGGUCUGGCCUCGCGGCAGCCUCUGCGCCCCAGCCGCCUGCCUUGGCCUACCAGGGUGCUGGGAUUGCAGCCCCUGCCCGGCCGCCGCCCCAUCUGGGAGGUGGGGAGCGCCUCUGCCCGGCCGCCCCGUCUGGGAAGUGAGGAGCGCCUCUGCCCGGCCACCCACCGUCUGGGAAGUGAGGAGCGCCUCUGCCCGGCCACCCACCGUCUGGGAAGUGAGGAGCGCCUCUGCCCGGCCACCCACCGUCUGGGAAGUGAGGAGCGCCUCUGCCCGGCCACCCACCGUCUGGGAAGUGAGGAGCGCCUCUGCCCGGCCACCCACCGUCUGGGAAGUGAGGAGCGCCUCUGCCCGGCCACCCACCGUCUGGGAAGUGAGGAGCGCCUCUGCCCGGCCACCCCGUCUGGGAAGUGAGGAGCACCUCUGCCCGGCCACCCAUCGUCUGGGAAGUGAGGAGCGCCUCUGCCUGGCCACCCAUCAUCUGGGAAGUGAGGAGCGCCUCUGCCCGGCCACCCCGCCUGGGAAAUGAGGAGCGCCUCUGCCCGGCCACCCCGUCUGGGAAGUGAGGAGCGCCUCUGCUCGGCCACCCAUCGUCUGGGAAGUGAGGAGCGCCUCUGCCCGGCCUCCCAUCGUCUGGGAGGUGAGGAGCGCCUCUGCCCGGCCGCCCCGUCCGGGAGGAAGCGAGGGGGGCCUCUGCCCGGCCGCUCCGUCUGGGAAGAAGCGAGGGGGGCCUCUGCCCGGCCGCCCCGUCCGGGAAGAAGCGAGGGGGGCCUCUGCCCGGCCGCCCCGUCCGGGAAGAAGCGAGGGGGGCCUUUGCCCGGCCUCCCCGUCCGGGAAGAAGCGAGGAGCGCCUCUGCCCGGCCGCCCCGUCCGGGAAGAAGCGAGGAGCGCCUCUGCCCGGCCGCCCCGUCUGGGAAGUGAGGAGCGCCUCUGCCCGGCCGCCCCGUCCGGGAAGAAAUGAGGAGCGCCUCUGCCCGGGCGCCCCGUCGGGGAAGAAGUGAGGAGCGCCUCUACCCGGCCACCCAUCGUCUGGGAAGUGAGGAGCGCCUCUGCCCGGCCGCCCCAUCUGGGAGGUGAGGAGCGCCUCUGCCUGGCCACCCAUCGUCUGGGAGGUGAGGAGCGCCUCUGCUCGGCCACCCACCGUCUGGGCAGUAGUGAGGAGCGCCUCUGCCCGGCUGCCCCGUCUGGGAAGUGAGGAGCGCCUCUGCCCGGCCGCCCCGUCCGGGAAGAAAUGAGGAGCGCCUCUGCCCGGCCGCCCCGUCCGGGAAGAAAUGAGGAAUGCCUCUGCCCGGGCGCCCCGUCCGGGAAGAAGUGAGGAGCGCCUCUGCCCGGCCGCCCCCUCCGGGAAGAAGUGAGGAGCGCCUCUGCCCGGCCACCCACCGUCUGGGAAGUGAGGAGCGCCUCUGCCCGGCCACCCACCGUCUGGGAAGUGAGGAGCGCCUCUGCCCGGCCGCCCCGUCCGGGAAGAAGUGAGGAGCGCCUCUGCCCGGCCGCCCCGUCCGGGAAGAAGUGAGGAGCGCCUCUGCCCGGCCGCCCCGUCUGGGAAGUGAGGAGCGCCUCUGCCCGGCCACCCAUCGUCUGGGAAGUGAGCAGCGCCUCUGCCCGGCCGCCCCGUCCGGGAAGAAGUGAGGAGCGCCUCUGCCCGGCCGCCCCGCCCGGGAAGAAGUGAGGAGCGCCUCUGCCCGGCCGCCCCGCCCGGGAAGAAGUGAGGAGCGCCUCUGCCCGGGCGCCCCGCCCGGGAAGAAGUGAGGAGCGCCUCUGCCCGGCCGCCCCGCCCGGGAAGAAGUGAGGAGCGCCUCUGCCCGGCCGCCCCGCCCGGGAAGAAGUGAGGAGCGCCUCUGCCCGGCCGCCCCGUCCGGGAAGAAGUGAGGAGCGCCUCUGCCCGGCCGCCCCGUCCGGGAAGAAGUGAGGAGUGCCUCUGCCCGGCCACCCAUCGUCUGGGAGGUGAGGAGCGCCUCUGCCCGGCCACCCAUCGUCUGGGAAGUGAGGAGCGCCUCUGCCCGGCCACCCAUCGUCUGGGAAGUGAGGAGCGCCUCUGCCCGGCCACCCAUCGUCUGGGAAGUGAGGAGCGCCUCUGCCUGGCUGCCCCGUCUGGGAAGUGAGGAGCACCUCUGCCCGGCCACCCAUCGUCUGGGAAGUGAGGAGCUCCUCUGCCCGGCCGCCCCGUGUCUGGGUAGAAGUGAGGAGCUCCUCUGCCUGGCCGGUCCGUCUGGGAGGUCUACCACGGAGGCCAGAAGCAAUGUGGGGGCUGGACGUGGUGGCUCACGCCUGUGGUCCCGGCACUCUGGGGGGCGAGGCGGGUUGAUCACUUCGGGCUAGGAGUUCAAGACCAGUCUGGCCAACUUGGCGAAACAUGAAGAAUACAACAGACAAACCAACCAACUCAGUGACAACAAAACAGGUCUACCCUGGAGUCAUACUCUAAUUUUUUCUAUUUUCCUCCCUUUCUGAUCCUUUAUCCCACUUUCUUUUUCUUCCUCUUCCUUCUCCCUCUUCUUUGUCAAAUAGAGGAUUGAGUUAUUAUCACUGAUCCAUAUAAAGUCCCUCUCUCAUUUGUUUUAACUCCCACCCCCCAUUUCUAUUCCCCGACUUCCCAUGUGCAACCUUCCUAAUAUGUUUGAUACGCAUCUUUUUGUUUGUAUGUAUUUUUAGAAAAUGUUUAUUGUUUUUGUAUGCAAAAAAAAUUAAUAAAAAAAAAA